rnacentral:rRNA from 1 species
UUAAUGUCCAGGAGAGUGGCCCUCCGCAUGGAGGGUUGACUAGAGAUUUAUCGGUAUGGGAUGAGCUUGCGUCCGAUUAGCUAGUUGGCGGGGCAACGGCCCACCAAGGCGACGAUUGGUAGCCGGCCUGAGAGGGUGAUCGGCCACAUUGGGACUGAGAUACGGCCCAGACUCCUACGGGAGGCAGCAGUAGGGAAUAUUGCACAAUGGGGGAAACCCUGAUGCAGCAACGCCACGUGUGGGAAGAAGCAUUUCGGUGUGUAAACCACUGUCAUGAGGGAAUAAGGCCCGCCUCCGGGCGGGAUUGAAUGUACCUUGAGAGGAAGCACCGGCAAACUUCGUGCCAGCAGCCGCGGUAAUACGAGGGGUGCAAGCGUUGUUCGGAAUUACUGGGCGUAAAGGGAGCGUAGGCGGAGAUUCAAGCGGAUUGUACAAUCCCGGGGCCCAACCCCGGCUCUGCAGUCCGAACUGAAUCUCUUGGAUAGUUCAGGGGCAGGCGGAAUUCCUGGUGUAGCGGUGGAAUGCGUAGAGAUCAGGAAGAACACCGAUGGCGAAGGCAGCCUGCUGGGGACUUAUCGACGCUGAGGCUCGAAAGUGCGGGUAGCAAACAGGAUUAGAUACCCUGGUAGUCCGCACCGUAAACAAUGCAUACUGGGUGUCCGGGGGUUCCCCGGGUACCGUAGCCAACGCGUUAAGUAUGCCGCCUGGGGAGUACGUACGCAAGUAUGAAACUCAAAGGAAUUGACGGGGGCCCGCACAAGCGGUGGAGCAUGUGGUUUAAUUCGAAGCAACGCGCAGA